GAUGAACGCUGGCGGCGUGCCUAAUACAUGCAAGUCGAGCGAACAGAUGAGGAGCUUGCUCCUCUGACGUUAGCGGCGGACGGGUGAGUAACACGUGGAUAACCUACCUAUAAGACUGGGAUAACUUCGGGAAACCGGAGCUAAUACCGGAUAAUAUAUUGAACCGCAUGGUUCAAUAGUGAAGGACGGUUUUGCUGUCACUUAUAGAUGGAUCCGCGCCGCAUUAGCUAGUUGGUAAGGUAACGGCUUACCAAGGCAACGAUGCGUAGCCGACCUGAGAGGGUGAUCGGCCACACGAGAACUGAGACACGGUCCAGACGCCUACGGGAGGCAGCAGUAGGGAAUCUUCCGCAAUGGGCGAAAGCUUGACGGAGCAACGCCGCGUGAGUGAUGAAAGUCUUCGGAUCGUAAAACUCUGUUAUGAGGGAAGAACAAAUGUGUAAGUAGCUAUGCACGUCUUGACGGUACCUAAUCAGAAAGCCACGGCUAACUACGUG
rnacentral:rRNA from 1 species